rnacentral:misc_RNA from 1 species
UUGAACUAGCCUCUUCUUUUUCUAUAACUAUAAUGAUUACAAGUCUUGUUGGAACAGAUUCCAUUUCUUGUAUUUACAAGUUAGUAAUGUUUUAUUUUGUUUAAAAAAUAAUGCUCUAUUUUUGUCAUUCGUUUUGUGCUUCUUUGUCAACAUCAUUUUCACAUGUCUGAAUCCUAUUUUUGUUGAAUUUCCAACAAUAAUAAUUGUAUGGGUAUUUUUAAUGCGUCAAAUG